rnacentral:rRNA from 1 species
CCUACGGGGGGCUGCAGUGAGGAAUAUUGGUCAAUGGACGAGAGUCUGAACCAGCCAAGUAGCGUGAAGGAUGACUGCCCUAUGGGUUGUAAACUUCUUUUAUAUGGGAAUAAAAUGUUCCACGUGUGGGAUUUUGUAUGUACCAUAUGAAUAAGGAUCGGCUAACUCCGUGCCAGCAGCCGCGGUAAUACGGAGGAUCCGAGCGUUAUCCGGAUUUAUUGGGUUUAAAGGGAGCGUAGGUGGAUUGUUAAGUCAGUUGUGAAAGUUUGCGGCUCAACCGUAAAAUUGCAGUUGAAACUGGCAGUCUUGAGUACAGUAGAGGUGGGCGGAAUUCGUGGUGUAGCGGUGAAAUGCUUAGAGAUCAAGAAGAACUCCGAUUGCGAAGGCAGUUCACUGGACUGCAACUGACACUGAGGCUCGAAAGUGUGGGUAUCAAACAGGAUUAGAUACCCCUGUAGUC